rnacentral:rRNA from 1 species
AUGCUGACCCCAGACUGUGAAGACACCAUCUCUUGGCGUUGGACCCCUAACGGCAGCUACUCCUCUGCUUCAGCUUACGCGGCCCAGUUCUACGGAUCCUUCCCCAGGUUCUCGCAGUCCAAGAUUUGGGAGGCCCAUGCAGAGCCAAAGUGCAAGCUCUUCUCCUUGUUGGUUCUCCAUCGGAAGAUCCUCAUGACGGACAUGCUAGCUAUUUGUGGCUGGCCACAUGACCCUAUCUGCCCUCUCUGUCUGUGGGCGCCGGAAACAACAAAUCACUUGUGCAAAGGCUGUCUGUUCGCGGUAGCGGUUUGGUCGCGUGUACAACAGUGGACAGGGGAGGUGCCAACGGCCUCGAUGUCGCUGCCGCCUGCCAUGGGAAUCUCAGAUUGGUGGAAUUCGCUCAUCGCCCCGCUCUCCAAGGAAGAUAGUUGA